AGCGGCGGACGGGUGAGUAACGCGUGGGAAUAUGCCCUUCUCUAAGGAAUAGCCUCUGGAAACGGAGAGUAAUUCCUUAUACGCCCUUCGGGGGAAAGAUUUAUCGGAGAAGGAUUAGCCCGCGUUAGAUUAGGUAGUUGGUGGGGUAAUGGCCUACCAAGCCUACGAUCUAUAGCUGGUUUGAGGGAUGAUCAGCCACACUGGGACUGAGACACGGCCCAGACUCCUACGGGAGGCAGCAGUAGGGAAUCUUAGACAAUGGGGGAAACCCUGAUCUAGCCAUGCCGCGUGUGUGAUGAAGGCCUUAGGGUCGUAAAGCACUUUCGCCAGAGAUGAUAAUGACAGUAUCUGGUAAAGAAACCCCGGCUAACUCCGUGCCAGCAGCCGCGGUAAUACGGAGGGGGUUAGCGUUGUUCGGAAUUACUGGGCGUAAAGCGCACGUAGGCGGAUUAGUAAGUUAGAGGUGAAAUCCCAGGGCUCAACCCUGGAACUGCCUUUAAUACUGCUAGUCUUGAGUUCGAGAGAGGUAAGUGGAAUUCCAAGUGUAGAGGUGAAAUUCGUAGAUAUUUGGAGGAACACCAGUGGCGAAGGCGGCUUACUGGCUCGAUACUGACGCUGAGGUGCGAAAGUGUGGGGAGCAAACAGGAUUAGAUACCCUGGUAGUCCACACCGA
rnacentral:rRNA from 1 species